AAAGGCUUCCAAGAAGGAGUGACACCUGGGCUGGGUUUUAAAGGAUGAGCAGGAGUUCAUUAUGUGCACCAGAAAUAGAUCUUGGCAUUCCAGGCAACGGAAGAGCCUGAAUGUGUCCUGACUUCUUGCUUAGCAAAAUUGGAUCACCCUGCACUUUGGGAGGCCGAGGCGGGCGGAUCACGAGCCUGAUUAUAGUAACUGGCUCUGAAUUGCUGCUUCUGCUCAACUUCCUGGAUGCUAGCAGUACCCAGGGAUGUAAAGACCUUUCAACUAGAGCUCAUAGGUUCACAGAUGCAGAGGAAUUUUGCCUCAGGAUGAAUUGCAUCUUCAGUCUCACCCAAACCUGAUUUAGAUAAUAUUUCAAUGAGACUUCGGACUUCAGACUUUACAGUUGAUGCUGCAACCAAUAGAACAAGAAGAUGGCCAUCUGCAAACCAGGAAGAGAGCCCUCAUCAGACACUGGAUCUGCCAGCACCUUGAUCCUGGACUUCACAGCCUCCAGAACUGUGAGAAAUACAUAUAUGUUUUUUAAAGCACCCAGUCUGUGGCAUUUUGUUGUAGCAACCUGAGCUAAAACAGUUGCUAUUGAACUCUGUUCAGAGCUCCAGAUGUCCUGUGCUGGCACUGGGCAGGGUGCUCUCCUGGGCCAUUUCAUCAGCUCAGAGGCCUCACCUUCCACCAUAUGCUGAAGACCUCAAAUCUACAUCACAGUGAGACCUCCCCUGAGGUCUAGGCUAUUAAGUUGUAAGAUCUAUAAAAGCUUUCAUCACCUCACUUCCCUACUGGCCUUUACUCACCCUUCAAAAUGAUAAUUGUGUUAGUCAUUGAAAGAUGUGGCUGGGAUGAGAGUUCAGUUUACAGACUCUGCAGCUGGACUGCCUGGGUUCUGCCCUGGUUCCACCAUUAACUAGCUGGUAUCCAUGGACAAAUUGGUAUCUUCUCGGUGCCUCAGCUCCCUCUUUUCUAGAAUGAGGGGUAAUGACAGUGUCUCCCUCAUAGAUUGGAUGUGAGGAUUAGAUGAGUUUAACAGAUGUAAAGUACUUACAACAGUUCCUGGCACAUAAUAAGCUCUUACUAUAUCAGGAACUAGCUUAUUCUGUGCUUGUUAGUGUUUUAAUUUAAUUCUUAGAGUAGCCCGAUGAGGCUUUGAGAGAACUUGCCCAGUUCCAGAGCUUAAGCUCUCAACUCCGUGCUGUUUUCUUGUCUUAAGGCAUAAACACUGUUGAGCCUUGGCCGAUUCCUGGCAGAGCCAGGCGCUCCCUCCUCCAUGUUGUCACCCUACUCCAGGCUUGCUCACCCUACUGUGGGCUUGUGCAUCAGCUCUCCACAGCUGCUUCUCACCUGUAAAAAAUCAGGCUUCGUUUGUCUCAUUCUUGCCAUAGAAUGCCUUGUCCAAUUAUAUGCAAGCUUAGUACAUGUUGUUAAAUAAAAGAUUCAAUAAACGAAUUCAUAAAC
rnacentral:lncRNA from 1 species